UUCAGGAAGAGUCGUUCCACAGGGUCCCUGGAAAUGAAACCUGAAAGAGAAGAAGCAAAUACAGCAGUUUUGAACUACAGUCUUGUUUUCAGUGGCUUUUUGAAUGAACAGACCAACUAAGCCCUGACUGCAUGGACUAGGAGGGCUUCCCUACCCGCCCUUGACAGCACAGCCAGGGAGAGCACUGGACUUCCCUAACACACACGGUCAACUAUCGCUUCAAAGCAGUGACCUCUUCACACCCUAGAUAGGGAUGGGAAGAGCAUGACCUGUUUUGUAAACCGGCUUUUCUCAUUUAACAAUCCAUCAUCAACAGUGCUACUAUACUCAACGUUGGGAAGCAUUCUUUAAAUACUGGCUGAAUGAAUACGCACCACAAGAAAGUGCCUCUGCUUUUAAAGACGUGUCAAGAAAAAUUUGAAAUACGCAUACAGUCUGUCCAAUUAAUCCCACUUUUAGGAAAUGUGUCCUAAGGAAAUCAUUUGAAGAGCAUACUAAGAUUUCUAUCUAAGGAUAUUCACAAUGUCAUUGAUUAAACUAUCAAAAUUUGAAAUAGCCCAAAUGUCUUACAGUAGAGAAUUAGCUAAAUAUAUCAUUCCUUAUCCAUAUAAAACACCAUACAGUCAAUUGAAAGAUGAUAUUGAUUUAGACGUAUUGAUAUGGAACAUGCUAAGUGAACUGCUGCGUGAACAAAGUAGUUUCAAAACAGAACAUAUGUCAUGAACUCAGUUUUGAAUUUUAAUUAAUACGUGUACAUCUGCAUAAGAAAAGGUUUAGACCAGAGGUGGGCAAACUUAUUCUGAAAAUGACCAUACAGUAAAUUUUUCAGGCUUUGCAGGCCAUUCAAUCUCUGUCACAAGUACUCAACUCUGCCACUUGUAGUUUGAAAGUAGUCAUAGACAGUGUGUGGAAGAAUGAGUGUGGCUGAGUUCCAAUAAAACUUUAUUUCCAAAAACAGGUAGCAGGCCCAAUGUGGCCCAAAGGCUGCUGUUUGCUCACUCCUGGGUCUAGAAGAAAACAUACUAAACUGCUAACGGUAACUAUUUCUGGAUAGCAGAACUAUGGGCGAUUUCUAAUUUCCUCUUUAUAAUGUGAUAAUUUUUGCAUGUUCUCAAUUAAAUUUAAUCAUAAGCAUGUAUUAUUUAAAAAACCAAUAGCAUGUUCUUUUCUUUGUUUUUGGUGGGGCUGGGGAAGGAGGCUUUGAGAUGCCCAAGACAUGCAUGGUUUCCUACUUUAAUAUAAAUUCUUAUUCAUUGUUUCUCAGUUUUUCUAUAGGAUACCAUAAAGGCCUCUCAACAUACAUUUUAAGGAAAGGAAGAAAUGGAGGGAGGAGAGAA